AUUUAAAUAGCUUAUAAAAUAGAGCAUAACAUUGAAGCUGUUAAGGAAACUUUUGUUUUUAAAUA
rnacentral:tRNA from 1 species